rnacentral:rRNA from 1 species
AUGCGCCGGGCGCGCCCCGUCGACGCGCCGCCGCCCCUCGCCCGCGCCCGCCACGUGAUGGCCCUCUGCGGGGCCUGCGGCGCCGGGGACCGCGACGAGGAGCUGCUGCUCUGCGACAUCUGCGACCGCGCCCGCCACACCUUCUGCCUCCGCCCCAUCCUCCCCGCCGUCCCGCUCGGCUCCUGGCUCUGCCCCGACUGCGCCCCGACCUCCAUCAUUCGUUUCCCGUUGAAGCAGAGCAAGAUCGUGGAUUUCUUCCGGAUCGAGAAGGCCGCGGAGGGCGGCGCUGUCCGGCCGGCAAAGUGCGGGCUUUCUCAGGAUGCUAAGAGGCGAAAGAGACGAUCUCUUGUUAUGCACAAGAAGAAGAGGAGGCUACUGCCAUUUGUGCCCACUGCAGAUAGAGUUCGAAGGCUUGAACAGAUGGCUUCUGCAGCCACUGCAUUGACCUCUUCGAAAAUGGAAUUCAGUAAUGAGCUGACUUAUGUGCCGAGUAUGGCCCCUAUAUCUGCCAAUCAAGCAAAACUGGAGGAAGGUGGUAUGCAGGUUCUUUCGAAAGAGGACAAAGAAACUAUUGAACUUUGCAGAAGCAUGUUGAAAAGAGGAGAAUGCCCUCCUCUUCUGGUGGUUUUUGAUUCCCAUGAGGGCUUCACUGUGCAGGCUGAUGCAUAUAUUAAGGAUCUCACAUUCUUAACUGAAUACGCUGGCGAUGUUGAUUAUUUAAAGAACAGGGAAAAUGAUGGCUGUGAUAGUAUAAUGACCCUUCUAUCACCAGCGGAUCCUUCCCAGAAGCUUGUCAUCUGCCCUGACAAACGUGGAAACAUCGCCCGCUUUAUUAACGGCAUCAACAACCACACUCCUGAUGGAAAGAAAAAGCAGAACAUCAAGUGUGUGAGGUACGACAUCGACGGCGAGUGCCAUGUCUUGCUGGUCGCCUGCCGUGAUAUAGCUCGUGGUGAGAAGCUGUACUACGACUACAACGGGCAUGAGUAUGCGUACCCAACGCAUCAUUUCGUCUAA